rnacentral:rRNA from 1 species
GAUGAACGCUGGCGGCGUGCCUAAUACAUGCAAGUCGAGCGAACAGACGAGGAGCUUGCUCCUUUGACGUUAGCGGCGGACGGGUGAGUAACACGUGGAUAACCUACCUAUAAGACUGGGAUAACUUCGGGAAACCGGAGCUAAUACCGGAUAACAUGUUGAACCGCAUGGUUCAACAGUGAAAGACGGUCUUGCUGUCACUUAUAGAUGGAUCCGCGCCGCAUUAGCUAGUUGGUAAGGUAACGGCUUACCAAGGCAACGAUGCGUAGCCGACCUGAGAGGGUGAUCGGCCACACUGGAACUGAGACACGGUCCAGACUCCUACGGGAGGCAGCAGUAGGGAAUCUUCCGCAAUGGGCGAAAGCCUGACGGAGCAACGCCGCGUGAGUGAAGAAGGUCUUCGGAUCGUAAAACUCUGAUAUUAGGGAAGAACAAAUGUGUAAGUAACUAUGCACGUCUUGACGGUACCUAAUCAGAAAGCCACGGCUAACUACGUG